UUAAAAGGGAACUAUUCUGAGAGUCUCCGUCUCACAGGAGCUUCUUUCAGUGUGGCCGGGGCCCUCUAGGAUCUCAUUGCCCUUUCCUCCGUCUCCUCCCAGCCUCCCUGCCCUUGCUGUCCUCCAGCCGUUCCUUGCCAUUUCUUUUCAAAGGCACGCUCCUGCCUCAGGGCCUUUGCACUUACUGUCUUCCCCCACAAAUAGCCCUGUUGCUCACUCCCCUCAUAUCCUCUGGUCUCUGCUCAGAUGCUGCCCUAUCAGAGAGAAUCUCCUGACACAACCACUCUCCCCUUUCCUUUUCUUUCAGGGAAUGGGCCACUCCUGGCAUCCUGCACAUUUUAGCAUUUGUUUCCUGUCUCUCCCCACUAGAAUGCAAGCUGCAGAGGAAUUGUAUCCCUAGCACCUGGCUUCGCAGACCAAGAGCAAGUCGGCACACCAGGCCAGGCACUCGCAUGGGCGCCCAGAAGUUUCAAGAUCUGACCUUGGAGAGACCAGGUCUGGGAGGCUGCCGGGAAGUCUCCAUCACACUGGCCUCAGCUGAGUCACAGGAACGCAGGCUCUGCCAUGCCCAGAAGCCUGAGAUGCAACUUCAAGGACAACGGGAGCCAGAACACUUGGCCUCACACGGAAGGUGACUCCUAACCACCACCACACUUGACGUAGCACCAGCACACGGAGAUUAGGCCUACACCAAUGGCUAAUUGAGACCAUGCAUCACUAUUAAGGCAUCUUCAGCAAAAGGAACUAUGGAAGUUCUGCAUGAAACAUAGACACCUGUUAGAAAAGGAAUCAAAUUUCAAACCGGGAAUGUGGUGUUGAAUCACAGCAAAGUGUCCAGAAGGAACUCCCAAAGUACUGUUUUCCAAAGUAUAGAAUGAUAUAGAAGAUUGUUUUAGGUGGAAUUCCUGGAAAUAAAUUUUUAAAUGUU